UACGAAGGGGGCUAGCGUUGCUCGGACUCACUGGGCGUAAAGGGUGCGUAGGCGGGGCUUUAAGUCAGGGGUGAAAUCCUGGAGCUCAACUCCAGAACUGCCUCUGAUACUGAGGAUCUUGAGUUCGGAAGAGGUGAGUGGAACUCCGAGUGUAGAGGUGAAAUUCGUAGAUAUUCGGAGGAACACCAGUGGCGAAGGCGGCUCACUGGCUCGGUACUGACGCUGAGGUGCGAAAGCGUGGGGAGCAAACAGG
rnacentral:rRNA from 1 species